rnacentral:rRNA from 1 species
GAUGAACGCUGGCGGCGUGCCUAAUACAUGCAAGUCGAGCGAACAGACGAGGAGCUUGCUCCUCUGACGUUAGCGGCGGACGGGUGAGUAACACGUGGAUAACCUACCUAUAAGACUGGGAUAACUUCGGGAAACCGGAGCUACUACCGGAUAAUAUAUUGAACCGCAUGGUUCAAUAGUGAAAGACGGUUUUGCUGUCACUUAUAGAUGGAUCCGCGCCGCAUUAGCUAGUUGGUAAGGUAACGGCUUACCAAGGCAACGAUGCGUAGCCGACCUGAGAGGAUGAUCGGCCACACUGGAACUGAGACACGGUCCAGACUCCUACGGGAGGCAGCAGUAGGGAAUCUUCCGCAAUGGGCGAAAGCCUGACGGAGCAACGCCGCGUGAGUGAUGAAGGUCUUCGGAUCGUAAAACUCUGUUAUUAGGGAAGAACAAAUGUGUAAGUAACUAUGCACGUCUUGACGGUACCUAAUCAGAAAGCCACGGCUAACUACGUG